rnacentral:lncRNA from 1 species
UUGCUUAAGGUUGCUAAUGGAGCCCAAAUCUGGUGUAUUUGUCAGUCAGUUGUUGUUUGAUCUAUUUUACAGUUUUAAAUGCAGUAUGGUACUUGAUGUGGUUAUUUUAUGGUUUUGUAUGCGUGAAUCCCGGUUUCAUUUAUUAUGGUUUGAAUUAUGGUGAACCCGAUGUUGUGUUGUUUUGUUUGGUGUUCAUUACUGGUUUACGUGUUUAUGUUUGAUUUGAUAAUUGAGACCAAGAAAAAUG